GAUUUUUCAAGCAACCACCAGCGACAAUAUGUGACGUCUGUGGGGGAUUCCAGAAGAAAGCAGUAGUUCACUUUGUUAAAGGCAGUAAACCAAACAAACACGUGAUAGAACGUC